AGAUCGGGCCUUUCAGGCAUCCUCUCCUAAGACUUUAAACGGCCGUCCCUCGGGGCGGCCUUUUUUUUGCGCAGG
rnacentral:sRNA from 1 species